AACGAACGCUGGCGGCAUGCCUAACACAUGCAAGUCGAACGAGACCUUCGGGUCUAGUGGCGCACGGGUGCGUAACGCGUGGGAACCUGCCCUUAGGUUCGGAAUAACUCCCCGAAAGGGGUGCUAAUACCGGAUAAUGUCUUCGGACCAAAGAUUUAUCGCCUUUGGAUGGGCCCGCGUUGGAUUAGCUAGUUGGUAGGGUAAAAGCCUACCAAGGCGACGAUCCAUAGCUGGUCUGAGAGGAUGAUCAGCCACACUGGGACUGAGACACGGCCCAGACCCCUCGGGGGGGCAGCAGGGGGGAAUAUUGGACAAGGGGCGAAAGCCUGAUCCAGCAAUGCCGGGGGGGUGAUGAAGGCCUUGGGGUUGUAAAGCUCUUUUACCCGGGAUGAUAAUGACAGUACCGGGAGAAUAAGCCCCGGCUAACUCCGU
rnacentral:rRNA from 1 species